rfam:Asian citrus Psyllid, Diaphorina citri - Florida Strain, whole genome shotgun sequence.
GCCUCGGUAGUGUAGUGGUCAAGAUCUUCGUCUGGUAAACAGGAGGGCAUGGGUUCAAUCCCAGCCGAAGUA